CCAACAAUAAUAUUUAGACAAAUAGAUUUAUAACAAUCAAAUCUAAAUUUAAAAAUAUGGGAUAUUACAUUCUACCCCCCUUAUAAGGAUUCCGUCCUCGGAAUCCUCCGAAGAAACUAAAACGUACACACUUCGUAAUAUCAUAUCGUCAUCCACCUUUGAUUGAUCUUGGCAUACCUUUAACUUUAAUGGAAAAGGAAAAUCACACUUUCGCGAUUGCAAAAUUCAUUUCCC
rnacentral:lncRNA from 1 species